AGUUUGAUCCUGGCUCAGAACGAACGCUGGCGGCGUGCCUAACACAUGCAAGUCGAACGCGAAAGUCCUUCGGGAUGAGUAAAGUGGCGCACGGGUGAGUAACACGUAGGUGACCUGCCUUUUAGAGGGGAAUAACCAGAUGAAAAUUUGGCUAAUGCCGCAUACGAAGAACAAAUAUAAUAGUAGUUCUUGAAAGGAUGCCUCUGUACAUGCAUCCACUAAAAGAUGGGCCUGCGGAACAUUAGCUAGUUGGUGGGGUAAAGGCCUACCAAGGCAACGAUGUUUAUCCGGUCUGAGAGGAUGAUCGGACACACUGGAACUGAGACACGGUCCAGACUCCUACGGGAGGCAGCAGUGGGGAAUAUUGCGCAAUGGGGGAAACCCUGACGCAGCAACGCCGCGUGAGUGAGGAAGGACUUCGGUCUGUAAAGCUCUGUUAAUGUGGAAAAAUGGUAGCUGGUCUAAUAGGCCGGCUAUUUGAUGGUACACAUAGAGGAAGCACCGGCUAACUUCGUGCCAGCAGCCGCGGUAAUACGAAGGGUGCAAGCGUUGUUCGGAUUUAUUGGGCGUAAAGCGCGCGUAGGCGGACCUGCAAGUAAGAUGUGAAAUCUCGAGGCUCAACCUCGAAACUGCGUCUUAAACUACAGGUCUAGAAUCUCGGA
rnacentral:rRNA from 1 species